rnacentral:rRNA from 1 species
GCUGGCGGCAGGUCCUAACACAUGCCAGUCGAACGCGUGCCUUCGGGCACGAGUGGCGGACGGGUGAGUAACGCGUGGGAAUUUGCCUUGGGGUACGGAAUAACCGCGGGAAACUGCGGCUAAUACCGUAUACGUCCUUCGGGAGAAAGAUUUAUCGCCCCAAGAUGAGCCCGCGUCCGAUUAGGUAGUUGGUGAGGUAACGGCUCACCAAGCCUUCGAUCGGUAGCUGGUCUGAGAGGAUGAUCAGCCACACUGGGACUGAGACACGGCCCAGACUCCUACGGGAGGCAGCAGUGGGGAAUAUUGGACAAUGGGGGAAACCCUGAUCCAGCCAUGCCGCGUGAGUGAAGAAGGCCUUAGGGUUGUAAAGCUCUUUCGGUGGUGACGAUGAUGACGGUAGCCACAGAAGAAGCCCCGGCUAACUCCGUGCCAGCAGCCGCGGUAAUACGGAGGGGGCAAGCGUUGUUCGGAAUUACUGGGCGUAAAGGGCGCGUAGGCGGAUGAUCAAGUCAGAGGUGAAAGCCCUGGGCUCAACCUAGGAGGUGCCUUUGAAACUGAUUGUCUUGAGUACGGGAGAGGAUAGCGGAAUUCCCAGUGU